AACGCACAUUGCGCCCUUUGGAAUUCCGAAGGGCAUGCCUGUUCGAGCGUCAUUAUCACCCCUCAAGCCCCGUGCUUGGCGUUGGACGGCCGGUCGAGCGAUCGACCCCUCCGAAAGACAAUGACGGCGGCCUGUAGUUCCCCCGGUACACUGAGCUUUUCACGGAGCACGUAUCGGACUUAAGGGCGCCCGGGACCCGGUCUUCUCCUCUCACCAGGAAACUUCUAAGGUUGACCUCGGAUCAGGUAGGAAUACGCGCUGAACUUAA
rnacentral:misc_RNA from 1 species